UCUCCGUUGGUGAACCAGCGGAGGGAUCAUUACUGAGUCUACGAACUCCCAACCAUUGUGAACAUACCCUACGUUGCUUCGGCGGUCACGCCCCGGGACGCGCGCUCCGGCGCCGUGCUCCCGGGCCAAGGCGUCCGCCGGAGGCCCCAAACUACACUGCAACUAUGGAUCUAUCUGAGUGGCAUAAGCAAAUAAAUCAAAACUUUCAGCAACGGAUCUCUUGGUUCUG
rnacentral:misc_RNA from 1 species